AUUGAACGCUGGCGGCAGGCUUAACACAUGCAAGUCGAGCGGGGUGAUGGUGCUUGCACUAUCACUUAGCGGCGGACGGGUGAGUAAUGCUUAGGAAUCUGCCUAUUAGUGGGGGACAACAUCUCGAAAGGGAUGCUAAUACCGCAUACGUCCUACGGGAGAAAGCAGGGGAUCACUUGUGACCUUGCGCUAAUAGAUGAGCCUAAGUCGGAUUAGCUAGUUGGUGGGGUAAAGGCCUACCAAGGCGACGAUCUGUAGCGGGUCUGAGAGGGUGAUCCCGAACACUGGGACUGAAACACGGCCCCGACUACUACGAGAGGCAGCAGUGGGGAAUAUUGGACAAUGGGGGGAACCCUGAUCCAGCCAUGCCGCGUGUGUGAAGAAGGCCUUAUGGUUGUAAAGCACUUUAAGCGAGGAGGAGGCUCUUUUGGUUAAUACCCAAGAUGAGUGGACGUUACUCGCAGAAUAAGCACCGGCUAACUCUGUGCCAGCAGCCGCCGUAA
rnacentral:rRNA from 1 species